AACGAACGCUGGCGGCAGGCUUAACACAUGCAAGUCGAACGCCCCGCCAGGGGAGUGGCAGCCGGGUGAGUAACGCGUGGGAACAUACCCUUUUCUACGGAAUAGCUCUGGGAAACUGGAAUUAAUACCGUAUACGCCCUACGGGGGAAAGAUUUAUCGGGGACGGCUUGGCCCGCGCCGGACCAGCCCGCUGGUGGGGGCAAGGCCCACCAAGGCGACGAUCCAUAGCUGGUCUGAGAGGAGGAUCAGCCACGGUGGGACUGAGACACGGCCCCAACUCGUGCGGGAGGGAGGGGUGGGGAAUAGUGGAGAAGGGGCGGAAGCCUGAUGCAGCCAGGCGGGGUGAGGGGUGAAGGCCGUAGGGUUGUAAAGCGCUGUCAGCGAUGAAGAUAAUGACGGUAGUGGGAGAAGAAGACCCGGCUAACUUCGUG
rnacentral:rRNA from 1 species